rnacentral:lncRNA from 10 species
CUAGGUUUUAUUCCAUCAGACAGGCUUGUGCCACAUGGCUGAAAACAUUGCUACUAGAGGUGACUUUGCCUCAUUAUCUCUGGCCCCAAUUUUGGAUCCUGGAAAAAGUUUUAUAAUUGUCUGAUUUAAGCCAAUCGUCAGGAAAUCCUGCAUGCUCUUCUUUCAAAAUACUUAAAAUUCAAGUGCUUCUUGUGACCUCUCUUGUCUGAGCUAGCGUCUUCACCAGCCUGGGUACAGCAGUGGGCAUCUAUCCAGUCACCUAGCCACCAUCUCUGUCUUCCUGUUGCCUAUUCUCAACACAGCUAUGACAGUGAUCUGCAUAAAAUUUAAGGACCCUGACAGCAAAUAAGUGGAGGAGUUAUGAAGCAGCUGCAGGUGUCCAGAAGAGAAGUGACUUGAACUAGCAUGGCAUCAGCAGAGAUAAA